UACAUUUGGAAAAGUUGGAAUGUAAACUCGUACCAUUAUUUAGCUGUAGAAUACAUUGUUCAAAUGUGCGUUGAACAAAGAUCUAAAUACAUUCCUGAUAACCGAAAUACUAGCCAAAUAAAGAAAUGAAAGAAAUAAAGUCAUGUCUUUCGAAAAUCAAAUUAUUAUAACUUUAUUCUCGCGGUCGGACAUCCAGGAACUUUUGUACAUUAUUGAACAACACGAAGAGUAAAUAUGCCCCUUUGCCACGUGUUAAAGAUCGCAGUAACGUCAUUCCAACUGCGAGAGUUGUAGCUAUUUUCGUGUCGUAAUUAUCGCGAACCUUUGGACCGAAGCGGAAAGCUGAGAUUUUCAUUAAUAAUUAUGGUGUUCUAUAUCUGCCACGCGCCCCGCGGAUCUCGCCCCGCGGAUCUCGCUCGAUAAACAAACUUCAGUUGGACAUGGACUCGGCACUCGAUAAUUUAUUCAUUUGCAAGUCAUGAAAUCGAUACCACAUUCAAAAUCGAAAUAUAACUGCAGUGCAAAACGAACUAUGACGACCACAGGCCUGUGGACACACAGACAACCGGCAUUGACUUGUUUGUUGGGUUGUUUGUUUAUUUGUUAUUUGUUUUUUCAGUUGCACUUUCAGAUACGGUGAGUAUGUUUGCGCCAGACAACCGGCGUGGUCAAGCCUCUGGUUUUUAAACAGAACGAAUAUAUUAGUUUACGCAAUCAAAUGCCAAUAAAGGGAAAUCAGCUACAAUGAUUAGUUUCCAUUUCACAAAAUAAAGCAAGGGAAUGCCCUUUAAAUAAUCCAGUGCAUCACAACUGUAUCAAUUGUUCCAAAGCAAUACGUAACCUUUGCCCCUUUCCGUGUACUUGAACUGUUAUACAUCAUGCAAACAUUGCAUCGGAUUCUUCGUCGACUGAAUUUGCAGAGAAACAGACCCGACAACCUAUCAAUAGCAAGACUUCUUUCAAGUUUGGAGGCAAGUGGUUCUUUAGAUUUACAUUUGAUUAUUACUUCACAAUGUUCAGUUUUGUGGUCUUUAUUUGUCACCACUCCUCUCGUUAAUUGGUUAUCCUUCAAUUCCAGACAGAGCUACGAGCCAGUGGCCACAACUUGGGAUGCCGAGGAAUGCGACAGAGAUUGCUAUCGCGAUAGGGACUUAUUCUUCCAAGGUGUUAUGUCGGUUUGAAAAUUGCUUGAUGGACGGUAAUAUGCAUUUUUUUUUAAAUUGCGGAUCCAUCCACAUAAUCUUAGUGACCAGUCGGUCUUGAUUCAAUCUGAAAAUCACUGAAUAUUCUCGAAUAUAUUUGUGCAGACGUGCGUGACAAGAAAACAAAAUAUUCAUCGACUUUUCCGUGUGUAAUUCAGAGUUGUGAAAGUUCAUUCUCUUCACUUAUUGCAUUUCUUUUAGAUGUAGACCCUCGAUUAUAUUUUUGGUACCUGCUAGCUGUGUAAAAACGCUUGAGGACUGCCUACAUUUUAGUGUUUUACUAGCUGCUUUCCACUGAAAUUUUCUGUGGCAAUUCGCACCCGUGAUUGUUUUGUACAAAUACGUAUCAGGGAUAUGGUUCUCGAGGGGCAGCGCCUUUUAGAUCCAGAGCGAGUAGAAAGAAGGAAGUUCACCGUUUGAGACGACAAUUAUAUCGGAACCCCGGACCAAACGCAGUGCACAUCGACCAAAAUGAUAAACUGAAAAGAUAUGGCUUUCUGCACGGUGCGAGAGAUGGGAGCUCCGCGCUGUAUCCAGACGGAUAAAGGGACAGAGAAUGUCUUAAUUGAUGACAUACAAGUUGCCAUCCAUUCUGUGUAUGGCGGACAAGAAGGGCCAUGUGUAAUAAAGAGCACCUCUCGUCAUAACCAGCGCACAGAACGCUUUUGGCGAACUCUUUUCGAAAUGAUGGGACAUUUUUGGGUCGACACUUUUCGGCAGUUGGUAAACUAGGGUCAGCUUGACUGCACUUCCCCUCUACAUUUGUAAGUACUUUUUCACUUAUUGUUAUCUAUGUACAAUCUUGGGGUAAUUUUUUCUUUCGAAAAAUGGCCUUUGUCUGUCUGUGAAAUUUUACUGCAAUUUUGUUGCCUUAUAUUAGCUGCAACAAUACACAAACUAAAUAUUGCUUAGUUACAUCUAUAUUUAAAUCAAUUCGGCACAAUUUAGAAAUUACGAGUCUGGAAUUCAGAAAUGACCUGCAGUAAUUCGAUCAAACCAGCAAACAAUACUGGCGAUUCACGUCAGUGCCACUCCAAGAGUUUGCAACACAUGGACCAAUCACAGUGCGCGAAUUCUGUCGACUCGGUGAGCGUGUGGAAAUGGUCGACAGAUUUCGUGCACUGUGAUUGGUCAAAAUCUUGGAGGCGCGCAGGAUUCCCCGUAUUCGUCAGACUCUUAUACUGCACGUUAACAUCGAGGAGAACACUUAAUAGCACGCCGAUUUACAUACGCUGAAUGUAUCAUUUAUA